GCCCUAUAGGAGACACCUCCAGAGAAAGUAACAACUCUCAGUUGAUUAGCUGAGAGAGCAGAGAAGAGGAGAAGCAGCUGGACGUCUCUUGACGUUGGAGAAAAGCAGCUUGACUUCAG
rnacentral:lncRNA from 1 species